rnacentral:rRNA from 1 species
UGGGGAAUCUUGCACAAUGGGCGCAAGCCUGAUGCAGCAACGCCGCGUGCGGGAAGAAGGCCCUAGGGUUGUAAACCGCUUUCAGUAGGGAAGAAAAUGACGGUACCUACAGAAGAAGGUGCGGCCAACUACGUGCCAGCAGCCGCGGUGACACGUAGGCACCAAGCGUUAUCCGGAUUUAUUGGGCGUAAAGAGCUCGUAGGCGGUUCGGUAAGUCGGGUGUGAAAAUCCAAGGCUCAACCUUGGGACGCCACCCGAUACUGCUGUGACUAGAGUGCGGUAGGGGAGCGGGGAAUUCCUGGUGUAGCGGUGAAAUGCGCAGAUAUCAGGAGGAACACCAGUGGCGAAGGCGCCGCUCUGGGCCGUAACUGACGCUGAGGAGCGAAAGCAUGGGUAGCAAACAGGAUUAGAUACCCCCGUAGUCC